GACACGGAAGGGUCGAGAUGUCAGGUCGGCCAAGCUCCACCCCCACCUCACUGACGAUUCCCGCCAGAUGCUGACCAGCUCCUGAACGGCGGGCGGGAGCCCGAUUCAGCGUCUUUUGUUUCUUGUAUAUCACGGUCAUGACAAGAGUGAUUUCCUGGUAGUGGUGAAAUCAUUAGCUCAAAUACAGGGACAGGAAAUUAAGCAACGCCAUAACCGUAGCAAGCCACUGGGAGACAGAUGCUGUCAUGCCUUCAAGGAACCAGUUGGCAGAGCGAUGUUGUCCCUGCAGGAAACGGCAGGCCGGCACAGAGCCGACUGGGCAUGCUCCGAGCUGCGCCACAUGGGCUGUGUGGCUGAUGCCAUUCUGCUGUGCCAGAUGACAGGUGGGCUGGCAACCGGUUUGGCCCGUGGCACUGCGCCCAGAGCAGUUUAAGCACAGAAAUCUCCAAAUCUUCAAAUCAUGCUUAAGCAGCUCUGACCCCCCUCAGUGACCAGAGCUCAGCUGGGAGCCCCCCUCAUCACCUGUCACUCAGGUGCCCCCGUCCCCUGAGCUGACACAGCUUUUCAAUCAUCUUCCUCUAAAGCCCAACUGGAUGUGCCCUACAGACCUGCGGGGCAGGUCUUUCCUGGUCUGCAGAACGAUAGCUCUCUGACUGAACUUCCCCUCUGCAGAUACCAUCUGCCAAGCCGUCUGAAGAGCUGUGGAAUCUUCAGAAACAAGCAGUAUGACUGAAAAGGCUGUUAAAGGCUGAUUAAGAUACAGACUUGACCAGUUUGUCAUCCCAGGACAAUAAAAACUAAACUAAACAUAAUCCUUGGCAUAUGUUACUAGUAGUGAGAAAUUGCCAGAAACUGCAAGAAAUUUGGUAGAAGAUAGCAGCCUAAUGAUUAAAAUACUACUGAAUAAUAUUUAAUAAAAUUAUCAUAAUAAUUUCAAUUAUGCGAUGAUAUCACAUUGUAAGUGUAACUUAAUAAACAUCAGGUUUAACUGGGACACUAAAACAAACACGCUGGGUUUCUUGUUUACGUCCGAACGAUUUUUACAAAAUCGCUUUCAUGCUGAUCAUGGAAAAAUUAACAUAACCCUUCAGAAGGAGGGAAGAAAAUCCCACUUUCAUCCAUACUGCGAUAAUGGCUCCAUUGAAAGGCCCGCUGCAGUCAGCACUGCUGAUUCCAUUGCAGAAACAGCCUAAAACACAAUCGUCCUUUAUUUCUGUUUAUUUCGGGGGCUGCAGCUUCAUCCAGCCAACCUACACAUCUCCAUGCUUUUACCCCAUUUCUAAUUUAAAAAAUUCAUACAGCAAAUUUAGACCCAUAAAAUGCCAAGUGCUUAAUAGCGCCUUUUCCAGCACAGCUGGCCUGAAGCUCUCUCUCCAAACCCUAUUCUGCCUCGACACAAACUGCAUUCCCCCAAUUCCACCCACUAUAAACCAGCCUGAUAACUUUUUCCAUUCUGUGCUUAAGAUGGUUGUAGGUUUCAGUUCUGCCUCCAUCCUGCAACACCAUCAGUAACAGACGGGGGCACUGUUGGGGGGACAGAACAAAUCCAAGGGCCCCUGAGUGACAGAACCCCUAAAAAUUUUUCAACAUAAUUGGAUCGAUCUGGGUUGGGGGCCUUAUAUGAUAAGAUUUCAUGGGGCCCAAAAUCUCUUAAAAUCACCUUUUCUCUUUCAGAUUAUUUUACCUUGUAAAAUGAGAGGACUGUGUUGUUCAGCUUUUUUGGGUUUUUUUUAUAAAUAAACUACAAAGUAAACACUUUUUCCACCCCAUUGCAAUGUGUGUUAAGCCCCAAUUUAGUCAACAGUAUCUAAGCAUUAUUUUUAGGCGAGUUCUUCCUCAGUCGGUUGCCAUCAGGUAUAUAUAAACAAACAAACAAACAAACAAAUAAAUAAUGGAUUUAUGAACAAUGUGGCAGUGCCGUCAUGACAGGUCAAACGCAACGUCCAUUUUCUCCAUGUUAUGGGAACUGCGUCUCAGCUGUCGGACUUAACGCAUUUAUGAGCACAGAUGACACUGUCAGCGCCUGCUUGGCAGAGGUCCCAUGGUGCAGGGUUAGGGUUACACUUCGCCGAUAGGCAUCACCCAGGCUGCUCCAUCAAAAAACAUUUAUGGCCGCGAUUGCGAGGGAGAGGAAGAAAAUAAGGAGGAAGACGGGACAAUGUCUCUGAAGAUCUGGCAGACUGAAGAAUGCUACUCGUCACAACAUGCAAGACACACUGUCUCCUGAAAUGUUAUUUGAUUAAAAACAUGCCACCACAUACAAACACCGAAACUAUAAUAACUGAGCUCUGCUACGCCCUGCUCCUAUUCUAAACCAA